GACCUGGAGGCGGAGUGGUUCGCGUCUGCUCAAAAUCAAUGUAUGGGAAGCAAUGCCCGUGCAGAAGAUCCCCGUUCGAUUCGGGGCUAGGUCA